UGUACACACCGCCCGUCACACCAUGGGAGUGGGUUUUACCAGAAGUGGCUAGUCUAACCGCAAGGAGGACGGUCACCACGGUAGGAUUCAUGACUGGGGUGAAGUCGUAACAAGGUAGCCGUAUCGGAAGGUGCGGCUGGAUCACCUCCUUUC
rnacentral:rRNA from 1 species